ensembl:lncRNA
GGUGGUAAUGGAUGGAUUAAAGGAACAAAAACGACAGACGGGAAGGGAGAAGUGGCUGUCACCGACCCAUCUCCCAACACUUCACCCAACAGAAGUACUGCAACACACUGAAAAUAUGUCUUCCUCAACUACCUUAACUAUAGAUUAUGUAAUAUUACUUAGUUUUUUAGUAUUUAUAUAUCAAUAUUUUUGUGGAUAUUGACAUACUUUCUGGUCAUGUUUACAGAAAGUAUUAUUUGUAGGAUGAUUUACAUUCUCUGGUCUCUUUCUUUUAUUUUUCUUGUUGCCUCUGGAGCAAGACACUUUAUGUGUGUAGUGUAUUUUUACACUACACACACCUUAUAGAAUCUAAAAAGCAGAUUCCUAAGUCUUAACCUCCAGGGAAGCUUUGAUUCAUAAUUGAUCUUAGGAUGCAAUCAGGUGUGAAAUGAGGAGACCCCAGCCCUCACAGGAUGUUAAGCCUCAACCAGCCUUUAUCAACAGGGCAGUGAAUCAACAGCAGGCCUGUGCAGACAGACACCCAUAAGACAUUCUGGAGCUGUUUACCGUUACCUUGGUCAUGGCUAUGACCUCCACAGUGGAGCGACCUUUCAACCCGUGCGCCAUGGCAACGCCCUGCAGCCUUGCUCCCGAGGCCUGCGGGAUCCUGGGAAGGUGAAGGCACAAGAGAUGUGAUUGGCUGAUGAAAGAGGGGUGGAAUCGCAGGGCACGAGCCGAGGAAUCCCCGACGGAUAAGAUGACAGCAGGGACACACACACACACACACCCACAGACCUGCGUGCAUGCACAUAGACAAGCACACACACAUAGACCUGCGUGCAUGCACAUAGACACACACACCCAAAU